CUGGGCGUAAAGCGUGCGCAGGCGGAUUGUUGAGCAAGACGUGAAAGCCCCGGGCUUAACCUGGGAAUGGCGUUUUGAACUGGCAGUCUAGAGUGCGUCAGAGGGGGGUGGAAUUCCACGUGUAGCAGUGAAAUGCGUAGAGAUGUGGAGGAACACCAAUGGCGAAGGCAGCCCCCUGGGAUGACACUGACGCUCAUGUACGAAAGCGUGGGUAGCAAACAGGAUUAGAUACCCUGGUAGUCCACGCCCUAAACGAUGUCAACUGGUUGUUGGGGGAGUGAAAUCCCUUAGUAACGAAGCUAACGCGUGAAGUUGACCGCCUGGGGAGUACGGUCGCAAGAUUAAAACUCAAAGGAAUUGACGGGGACCCGCACAAGCGGUGGAUGAUGUGGAUUAAUUCGAUGCAACGCGAAAAACCUUACCUACCCUUGACAUGUCCAGGAUCCUGCAGAGAUGCGGGAGUGCCCGAAAGGGAAUUGGAACACAGGUCCUGCAUGGCUGUCGUCAGCUCGUGUCGUGAGAUGUUGGGUUAAGUCCCGCAACGAGCGCAACCCUUAUCAUUAGUUGCUACGCAAGGGCACUCUAAUGAGACUGCCGGUGACAAACCGGAGGAAGGUGGGGAUGACGUCAAGUCCUCAUGGCCCUUAUGGGUAGGGCUUCACACGUCAUACAAUGGUCGGUACAGAGGGUUGCCAAGCCGCGAGGUGAGCCAAUCCCAGAAAGCCGAUCGUAGUCCGGAUUGUUCUCUGCAACUCGAGAGCAUGAARUCGGAAUCGCUAGUAAUCGCGGAUCAGCAUGUCGCGGUGCAUACGUUCCCGGGUCUU
rnacentral:rRNA from 1 species